rnacentral:tRNA from 1 species
AGGCCUGUGGUGUAGCGGAAGCACGGCGAGCUCCAACCUCGCUGGUCCGGGUUCGACCCCUGGCAGGCCUG